rnacentral:lncRNA from 1 species
GUGCGUGCUAGUCCUCGGUGCCACCAUGGCCACAGAGCUUCUGCCUCACCUCGCAUGGGCUAGAAGCACAGCAGAGAUGAGGACACAUUUCCAGCACUUGGCCAGUUGCUACCGCUGUGUCAUAGAAAGAGAAGUGACUGUUUUUAAUUACUGGGAAGGACACAACCUACUUACCAGUAGGAAAUGAAAGCUUCCUUAGACUAAAAUCCUGAAGAAAACAUUGAAUAUGGUAAAAUUGAAUCAUGAUAUAGGAUGACCUUAGACACCGAAUCUUAUGAAGUCUAUGAAAUUACUGCACCGAGCUUCAUAAAGAAUCAUGAAAGGGCACAAACCAGAAGUGACUCAUCUAUUGAUGCUGCUGUGCCGACACAGCUUGGCAAAUGACCUGGAUAACAUCACAGAAAAAAAAAAAAAAGGUAAAUGUAAUUGGGGUGUGUGUGUCCAGCACACGAAACUGUCUGGUGGGAUCUUUUUUAAAACAGUAAG